UAAAAGAAAACCAUUUUAUGCAUUUAAAUGACCUUACACGUUAUCAGUUUAUUAAGCGUUUAGACUAUGUAGACACACUCACUGUGCACUAAAAUUAAAAAAAUUGGUUAACACGACCACUCGUGGUGGCUUCACUCAGAGGUUGGAGAAGACAACCGGUGGACUAAACAUCAAGCCUCUGCACGAUUCAGAAUUAAGACAACCUUAGCAGGAGAGCCCCAGCAGUAACUUUCUCUCAAGCAGAUGAGCAAUAAGUUGCUUUGUAUGAACACCACCCUAACAAUCAAGUAGCCUGUUAACAGUAGACCAAAGGUAUGAUGAUCAAUUAUAUAUGCAAUAUGGUUGAAAGGUCAGUAAACAAACAACAAAAAGGUAAUUUCUUAAUAGAAUGUCUAUACAUUUUUUGCUUUUGUUACAUAUUUCAUGCAUCAAAAUCAUUAAACGUUAAUAAUUAUGUAUUCCAACUUGUUGCAGCUUGACAAAAAUGUAGCUUGAAGGAGAAGGGACAGCUGAGUAACAAAGUCCUGGUACGCAGACGACAAUACUAUUACACUGACAAGAGUGUAAUGAUGAUGGAGACACAAGCCAGAGAAAGGGGGGACCAAACACCAGGCCAGAAUUCUGCAUGAGUCAGAUCCAGUGGGUGCAGAUCAUCAUACAGAUGGUUCAAGUGUGGAUCCACCUAAUAUUCAAGAUUUUCUGUCCUGGGACACUCGGCUAACCAUCAAGAAAGAACACACUCCAGUGGGCAUCCUUUAUCCAUCCAGACCCUCAUACAGAUGGUUGGAGUUUUGAUUCACCUAAAGUACCAUGCAAGAGCACUCAUUUUCCCUCUUGAGACCAUGGUGUGACCUGCAAGGUCGAAUGGAGACUGUAAACAAGACAAUCUUGGAGUCACCUGCAUUCACUGGUCCAAUUGUUAGUCCAAUUACAGAUGGAGAUUAUAGAAGAGGAUGAUGUCUUUUCUCCAACAUCUUUCUAGACUGAUAAAAGAUCUAGACAGGCUCAAACAAAAGUUAACAGACAGAGGGGCUUAUAUAGAGAAUGGUGAGCAGCUACACAUAAAAGAAGAACAUGGAGAAUCUGCCCAGAGGUGUUAACCAGCAAUGCAGCUAUACAACUAAAUUGAUGCAGGCGGAAACAAUGUGUAAUGCAGCUGCUGCAGAUGAAGAAUCCGUCCGUCUACCACUGAAGGAGACGCGGAAAAUCGGGAAAAGAUGUUCUUUGCCCGAGGAAGCAUUUGAUUAAUUUAAAGAUAUUGUGUUUCUUUGUAUGUUAUAGAAAAACGUUGCUUUUUUUGCAUACACUCGUGUAAAUAUGCAUCUUAUGAAUGUUUUCCUUUGUCUAAUUUUAAUAAAUUUUACGCAA